rnacentral:rRNA from 1 species
UACGUAGGGGGCAAGCGUUGUCCGGAUUUAUUGGGCGUAAAGAGCGUGUAGGCGGCCAGACAAGUCUGCUGUGAAAACUCGAGGCUCAACCUCGAGCUGUCGGUGGAAACUGUCUGGCUAGAGUCCGGAAGAGGAGAAUGGAAUUCCAGGUGUAGCGGUGAAAUGCGUAGAUAUCUGGAGGAACACCGGUGGCGAAGGCGGCAUCCUGGACCGGCAUUGACGCUGAGGCGCGAAAGCCAGGGGAGCAAACGGG